rnacentral:tRNA from 1 species
UCUUAGGUGACUGAGUUAAAGUAUUAGAUUUUUAAUCUAAAAACGGCAUAAUCAAAUUGUGCCCCUAAGAG